CUUUUUCUAAAAUAGGAGAUUUCAUGUUUUCCUUGUAUGUGCUGCUAAUUCUAUAAAAACGGAAAAGUCUGUAAAUUUGGGUUUUUGCUUCAUUUGAUUUCUGAGGUAGAAAACCAGAUAACCUAGGCAAUUUGAAAACAGCCAGAUCAAUGUCUUUUCUUAAUUUAUAAAUAAAUGAUGAUCAUUCCAUUCUGAGAGAGUGUUUCACUCGAGUUCGCGUCCACACGCGAGCACAGCCUCUUUGCAGCUCCUCCGUCGCUGGUCCAUACCCACCACCAGUUCUCCAUGGAUGACAAUAUAACUGUGCUCCUUGCCAUCAUCAACAAUGGCUCCAGCAUGUGCAAAGCCGGCUUCGCAGGUGACAAUGCUCAUCUUCCCCUCCAUCGUGGGCCACCCUAGGCACUAGAGAGUGAUGGUGGGUGUGGGUCAGAUGGACUCCUACAUGGCGACGAGGCCCAGAGCAAGAGAGGCAUCCCGACCCUGAAGUACCCCAUUGAACAAGGCGUUGUCACCACCUGGGACGAUAUGGAGAAGAUCUGGCACCACACUUUCUACAAUGAGCUGCGUGGGGCUCCUGAGGAGCACCCUGUGCUGCUCACCGAGGCCCCCCUGAACCCUAAGGCCAACCGUGAAAAGAUGACCCUGAUCAUGUUUGAGACCUUCAACACCCCAGCCUUGUCCGUAGCCAUCCAGGCUGUGCUAUCCCUGAAAGCCUCUGGUCGUACCACUGGCAUUGUGAUGGACUCCGGAGACGUGGUCACCCACACUGUGCCCAUCUACGAGGGCUAUGCUCUCUCUCACCCCAUCCUGCGCCUGGACCAGGCUGGCUGUGUGACCUGACGGACUACCUCAUGAAGAUCCUGACCGAGCGUGGCUACAGCUUCAUCACCCCAGCUGAGAGGGUAAUCGUGCGUGACAUUAAAGAGAAGCUGUGCUGUGUUGCCCUAGACUUUGAGCAGGAGAUGGCCACUGCCACAUCCUCUUCCUCCCUGGAGAAGACCUAUGAGCUGCUUGAUGGCCAGGUCAUCACUAUUGGUAAUGAGAAGUUCUGCUGCCCUGAGGCUCUUUUCCAGCCUUUCUUCUUGGGUAUGGAAUCCUGUGGCAUCCAUGAAACUACAUUCAAUUCCACCAUGAAGUGUGACUUUGACAUCAGGAAAGACCUCUAUGCCAACAGAGUGCUGUCUGGUGCCACCACUAUACCCAUUGCUGACAGGAUGCACCACCAUGUACACAUUGCUGACAGGAUGUAGAAGGAGAUUGCUGCUCUGGCUCCUAGCACCAUGAAGAUCAAGAGCAUUGCUCCUCUUGAGCACAAUAAAUGGAUCAGUGGCUCCAUCCUGGCCUCACUGUCCACCUUCCAGCAGAUGUGGAUCAGCAAGCAGUACAAUGAGUCUGGCCCCUCCAUCGUGCACUGCAAAUGCUUCUAGGCAAACUGUUACUGAGCUGCGUUUUACACCCUUUCUUUGACAAAACCUAACUUGUGCAGAAAAAUAAAAAAAUAAGAGACAACAUUGGCAUGUCUUUUUAAUUUUUUUAAAAAGGGUGUUUUAUUGGUUUUGUUUGUUUUUUGUUUUCUUUUGUUUUGGCGCUUCUGAGUCAGGAUUUAAAAACUGGAAAGGUGAAGGUGACAGCAGUCAGUUUGUACAAUGUGGCUGAGGACUUUGAUUGUACAUUAUUUUUUUGGUUUUGUUUUUUAAUAGUCAUUACAAGUAUCCAUGAAAUAAGUGGUUAAAGGAAGACCCUUACCCUCCAAAAGCCACUCCCACGCCUAAGAGAAGGAUGGACAAGUCCACACCCUGAGUCCACACCGGGGAAGGUGACAUCAGUGGGUCUGUGUAAAUUAUGUACUGCAAAAUUUUUUUUUAAUCUUCUGCCUUAAUGCUUCAUUUUUGUAUUUAAUUUCUGACUGUCAGCCAUCGUGGCUCCCCCUUUUUGGCCCCCCAACUUGAUGUAUGAAGGCUUUGGUCUCCCUAGGAGUGGGUUGAGGUGUUGAGGCAGCCAGGGCUGGCCUGUACACUGACUUAAGACCAUUUUAAUAGAAGUGCACACCUUACAAACACACAAACCAACAAAAAAGAGAGGAUGUUUCUGUCUGUAACAUGAUGUGUUUCACCAAUGUUUCUCUUCUUGUUUAUGUGCAUCAUUUAAGAUAAUGUGUAUUUAAUUUUUAUGCAUUAAAAAUAAAAUUGUCAACAAC